CCUACGGGAGACAGCAGUGAGGAAUAUUGGUCAAUGGACGAGAGUCUGAACCAGCCAAGUAGCGUGAAGGAUGACUGCCCUAUGGGUUGUAAACUUCUUUUAUAAAGGAAUAAAACGAGGCACGUGUGCCUUUUUGCAUGUACUUUAUGAAUAAGGAUCGGCUAACUCCGUGCCAGCAGCCGCGGUAAUACGUAGGGGGCGAGCGUUAUCCGGAUUCACUGGGUGUAAAGGGAGCGUAGACGGCCAAGCAAGCCAGGGGUGAAAGCCCGGGGCCCAACCCCGGGACUGCCCUUGGAACUGCAUGGCUGGAGUGUGAGAGGAUAGUGGAAUUCCAGGUGUAGGAGUGAAAUCCGUAGAUAUCUGGAGGAACAUCAGUGGCGAAGGCGACUAUCUGGCACAUAACUGACGCUGAGGAGCGAAAGCGUGGGUAGCAAACAGGAUUAGAUACCCUUGUAGUC
rnacentral:rRNA from 1 species